rnacentral:lncRNA from 10 species
CGAGCAGCUCCAUCUACAGAUUCACAUGGAGAAGAAUUAAGGGUUCCUGCCAAUCACCAGCACCACUUUGCCAGCCUUGUAAGUGGGCCACCUUGGAAUUGGAGCCUCCAGUUCCUACUGACAUCUGACUGCAACAUCAUGAGAGACCCUGAGUUUGAACCACCCAGCUGAGCUGCUUCUGAGCUAACCCACUGAAACCACAGUUGGCAUCUGUGUGAAGAUGUGAAUGGAGGAGGCAGAGUAGGCAGUGAGUGCCGCAGCCACAGCUUGUGUUCUCUGCAGCCCUGGCACAGAAGAUAGGAACACUCAUGGGGGAUGCGGCCACUGUGAUGUCUUCCCACACAAGAAGUGCCAAGUGCUUUUCUCAUGCUUUUCUGGAUUGUCCCAUGGUGGACGAGUCAGCAGGAGUGAGAUGGAGCAGCACAGUAGAGGGGUACCUGGCAAGGCCCGGAGGGAGGACCCCCUGCCCCAAACAUUUCAAUGAUAUCAGGUGUGCCACCUCUUUGAUCCAGCAAGUGGGAAGAACAGUCCCGGCCUCUUUGCACACAAGACCGUGAUACCAAUGCACCAUCACAGGCCCCACAGGGGAGCUGUCCGCUUCCCCACACAGCUGCUAGGGGCUCUUUUGCAUGUUCCCAACCUUUCCUG